rnacentral:lncRNA from 1 species
AAAAAGAAAACUUCACUUUACAUAGUAUCAUAUAAUAUAGAAAAAUCUUGAUAUCUUUAUCUGCCUAUCCAUUUCAUCACUUUCUCUCCCUCACUUGUCUCAAUCCUUUACCCCAAUCUACCUCAUCCUCUCUCACUUUCUCUCUUGGCCCUCUACCUAGUGGACAAGGCAUGGGUUCCAAGGCAUCAAGUUGCCCGUGCCAUCCUCCUACCUAUCGCUCUC